AUGACAACAGUGGAUCUGAAAAAUCUUGGGUACACUGACGAACCGUUCGUCCUAGCCAAUGAUGUGGCACAAGUUAUCUAUGUGAAGGACAUGUCUACAAAACCGAGAAAAAGAAAAGAUAAGGAAGCGAAUACAUCAUACUAUGAGCCAAAGCGCCACAUAGUUCUUUCAGGAAAAAGGGACAUCGUGGGAGUGGAGGGCAAGACAGACAUGUCUGAAGAUUAUCAAAAGUUUCAUGAAAUUCCUCCCUUCAAAGUCAAGGCUGACCCAAGCAUCCUGAUAAACGAUGAAGAUUAUCCAUGGUUACGGCGCAAUAAGCAAAUGACACAAGCGAAGAAAAAGUGA
rnacentral:rRNA from 1 species